AAUGUGUGAUCUGAUCUUAAGCAUCUAGGGACUCUGCACUUGUGUUCAGUUACUGAGAUAUGUAAACUUGCAGCUGUUCCCAGCCUUAACUGGUUCUUAAUGAUUUGCAUCUACUCACUGAACAGCCUUGAGGACUUAUUCAUAUACCAGUAACAUUCUGUUCAGUUCAUUGCAGUCAGGACUCAGCAUGGACAUGAGGGCCCCUGCUCAGCUCCUUGGACUCCUGUUGCUCUGGUUUCCAGGUGGCAGAUGUGACAUCCAGAUGACCCAGUCUCCAUCUUCCCUGUCUACAUCUCUGAGAGACAGAGUCACCAUCUCUUGCCAGGCCAGUCAGAGUGUUGACAAAUAUUUAUACUGGUUCCAGCAGAAACCAGGGAAAGCUCCUAAGCGCCUGAUCUACCAUGCAUCAAACUUAGCAGAUGGGGUCCCAUCUAGAUUCAGUGGCAGUGGGUAUGGGACAGAUUUUACUCUCACUAUCAGCAGUGUGGAGCCCGAAGACAUUGCAACUUAUUACUGUCUUCAGACUAAUGAGUAUCAUCCCACAGUGAUACAAGUCAUUACACAAACCUCCAUGGAAGCAGAAGUGAGAGGCUGGACUGCCCCAGCUGUUCCUUCUCAUGAGUCACUCACCGAAACUGUUUCUCGUUUGUCACCAGAUUUUUAG